rnacentral:lncRNA from 1 species
CCAGGAUCCAGAUGGGGUAGGGGGAUACAGGAGGGAGGGAGAGAGCUUUCCAGUGCACCAAGCACUGCCCACAGACCUCUCCAGUGCUCCCUUGCCCCCACCCACACCUGGCUGUCAGUUCAGAGCAUAAAACAAAUUUGUUAAUCCAGACUGCCUCUGACAGAGCGAAAGCAGCAAGCACUGUUCUCGCGGUAAGAACCCUGCCUUUGUAGACAGUGAGGAGAAUGGAGAGGAGUACAGUCAGGGGAUCACUGCAUAAGCACUUGGAUCUGGAGAGGAAGAUCGCCAAGCAGGCUGAAGCCAGACUCCGCCAACGACUGCAGAGUCUAGAGGAUAUCUGCCUCCUCCACCUGAAGCUGUUGAUCAGGGAGCAAAGGCAGCUCCAGAGAGAGCAGCAGAGGCUGCAGCAAGGCAGAUAUUGUCAAGGUGAGAUUGUCUUCUCUUGGGAAUGGAACUCAGAAAAGGCCAGAAUGUGUCCUCAGUUUCCCACCACAGCAAGGACAGAAGCACAGACCUCCAAAACAUGAAGUCAGGUAAGAAGAUACUCAUUAAGUGCACGCGUGUGACCCUAAAUUCCUCAUCUCCUGAGUCCCCGAGGAAAUGCUGCUUUCCUCUGCUGAGACAGACACG